UGACCUACCACCAUGAUGUCCUGUGAUUUAUUCUAGGGCAAAACACUUUCGAGUACAUCCUUCACUUUGAAGAAAUGAAAAUAAAGUAUUUUGGCUAUGUGUCUUCUUCCAUGGAUGUUGGUAAACAACACACAAGAAAAGUUUUUAGUCUUUUCCUUAAUGCAUUGUAUAUACCAUAAACAAAACUACAGAUUAGUUCUCUUUCAGAAAACAGAAGAAGCACGGAAAGGAAGGUAUAAACUCCUUCAAUGCAAGUGUCCCUUAAAAGGUUUUGGAAAGGGUCCUGAGAAUUCAGAGAUUUGUAGUGGUGUGCCUCAGUGGAGGAAGGCUUCCCAAGCACCUGGUGAACUCCUGUGUAUUAUACAGAACAAUGCAAAGAAUUUCUGAACAUACUUAAAUAUUUAGGUGACACCCCUGCUCAAAGACAAGGUGGAGAUUGUAAGAAUCAUGAAAAAAAUUCACACUGGAGAGAAACCUUUGUAUGUAAGCAAUGUGGGAAAGCUUUUACCACACAUGGACAGUGUAAGAAACAUGAAAGAAUUCACAGUGAAGAAAAACCCUAUGUAUGUAAGUAAUGUGGGAAAGCUUUUACCCAACAUGAAAAUAGUAAGAAACAUGAAAGAAUUCACACUGGAGAAAAAUUUCUUUUAUGUCAGCAAUGUGGGAAAGGUUUUACCACAUGUGGACAGUGUAAGAACCAUGAAAGAAUUCACACUGGAAAGAAACACUCUGUAUGUGAGCAAUGUGGGAAAGGUUUUACCACAAGUGGGCAAUGUAAGGAACAUGAAAGAAUUCACACUGGAGAAAAACCAUAUAUAUGUAAGCAGUGUGGGAAACUUUUUACCCAAUGUGGACGUUGUAAGCAACAUGAAAGUAUUCACACUGGAGAGAAACCCUAUGUAUGUCACCAAUGUGGGAAAGCCUUUAUGCAUUUUCACACCCAAGAUAAACACAUAGUUAAAUUAUAUAAAAACAAUUAUAAUUAUAUAAAAAACACAGUACAGCUUACCAGAAUCUGGGAGAUGCAAUGAAGGCUGUCCUCAGAGGAAUAUUUAUUGCACUGAGUUCCCACAUCAGGAAAACAAGGAAUAUAAAUAAACAACCUGAUGCUACACCUCAAACAUCUAGAAAGACAAGAGCAAGUGGAGCCCAAAGCCAAAAGAAGGGAGGAAAUUUUAAAAAUUAGAGCAGAAAUUAAUGUCAUUUAGACUAAGAAAACAAUCCAAAAAUCAAUGAAUCACAGAGGUGGUUCUUUGAAACAACAAAUAAAAUUGGUAAGAUCAUACCCAACCUUAUAAUAAAAAUGAAAGGAAAAGCUCAAACUCAGGCACUAAGGAAUAAGAAAGGUGAAAUCACCACAGACUCUGUGGAAAUACAGAAGAUCAACACCUAUUUCAAAACCUCGACUCUCAUAGGUUCAUCAACAAAGAAGAAAUGGACAGAUGUCUUAGAACAUAUGAAUUACCCAAGCUGGGUGAAGAUGUAAAACUUCUGAAUAACCCAAUUUCUAUUUAUGAAAUUGAAAAUGUAUAUUAAGUUCUUAUCUACAAAGAAGAGCCCAAGUCCAGUCGGAUUCACUGCAGAAUUCUACAAGAAAUACAAAGAAGACUGAAUGCUGACACUUCUCAAAAUCUUCAAUGAAAUUGAAAGGGAAGCAAUUCUUCCUAAGUCAUUCCUGGAAGCAAAUAUUACUCUAGGACCAAAACCUGAGAAAGGCCAAGCUAAGAAAGAGAAUGAAAACCCAACUUCCCUAAUGAGCAAAGAUGCCAAAAUCCUUAAUAAAAUAUUGGCAAACAGGAUGCAGCAAAUCAUCAUGAAGAUUAUACAUCAUGACCACAAGGGAUUCAUCACAGGAAUGCAGGGUUGGUUCAACAUGUAUAAAUUAAUAAAUGUAAUCUACCAUAUCAAUUAAGCCAAA